rnacentral:rRNA from 1 species
GAGUUUGAUCCUGGCUCAGUGAUGAACGCUAGCGGCAGGCCUAAUACAUGCAAGUCGAACGGAUGUAGCAAUACAUUAGUGGCGCACGGGUGCGUAACGCGUAACCAACCUACCUGGAUCUGGGGGAUAGCCCGCCGAAAGGCGGAUUAAUACCGCAUACGCCCGUUGACUGGCAUCAGUUAAUGGGGAAAGAUUUAUUGGAUUCAGAUGGGGUUGCGUAGCAUUAGCUAGUUGGCGGGGUAGAGGCCCACCAAGGCGACGAUGCUUAGGGGACCUGAGAGGGUGAUCCCCCACACUGGCACUGAGAUACGGGCCAGACUCCUACGGGAGGCAGCAGUAGGGAAUAUUGGGCAAUGGGCGAGAGCCUGACCCAGCCAUGCCGCGUGCCGGAUGAAGGCCUUCUGGGUUGUAAACGGCUUUUCUCAGGGAAGAAAAAGAGGAUGCGUCCUAAACUGACGGUACCUGAGGAAUAAGCACCGGCUAACUCCGUGCCAGCAGCCGCGGUAAUACGGAGGGUGCAAGCGUUGUCCGGACUUUACUUGGGUUUAAAGGGUGCGUAGGUGGCCCUGCAAGUCCGUGGUGAAAGCCUGCUGCUCAACAGCAGAACUGCCAUGGAUACUACAGGGGCUUUGAGUCCAGACGAGGU